AGAUAGCCAGAUCACCUGGCUCCCUGCUUUCAGCCCCCUCUUUUUCAGUUGAAUGGGUAGCUCUGUCUCCCAGGCAUUCCUGGCAGCAGUUAAACAGCUACCUGAAUUUGUGUGAGUUUUUGUGUGGAAACCUGCAGUGCCGGCUGAAACAGCUGUGCUGGAAACUUGUGGCACUUUUUGGCCCAGGAAUAUCCUGGUCUUUGUGUGGUAAGAAUUGCAGGAGAAGCUCAGUAUCUGAACCGGAGUGCUGGAGUGGAUGGAAAAGCCCCCGAUGGCCUCCAUUGUGUAGGGAGGGGGGUCCUCCAGGGAUUGCAUUUCCCGGGUGAGGCAGCACCCCUACCCUGCCUCGGCUUGCCCUUCUUGGGAUACAACGACUGUGCAACCAGUUCCAUUGAGAUGCACCUGGUACCUUGUUUGGAAAUGCAGUGAUCACUCACCCUCUCUAUGUCUCUCGCUGGGAACUGCACUCCAGAGCUAUUCAUAUUCGGCCAUGUUGGGUCUCCCAAUAAUCUCAUUUUAAAUCGAUUACCUCUGUAAAGACUAAGUGUUAUUCUGAGGUACAAGGGGUUAGGACUCCAAUUUUUGGAGGGUACCACAAUUCAACCCAUAACAAUUCCUUUUCCAUUUUAAAAGUUAUCCGUAUACAAUAGUUUUCUACAUUUUACCGCAUAAUAAAUGUUACUUUUUCAUAGUUGAUUUAUAUUUACUCUCAUAUUUACAUAUUUUUUUGCAUAUGAUAUUUUCUUGAAUAUUAAAUCUUCUGUCUUGGAUCAUUCUACUUUUGCCCCAAGUACUAUAUCCUUUUGAAAUUCCUUUAGUGAAGUUGGUGGGAGAUUAACUCCCCCAAUUUGUGUUUGCCUGAAAAUCUGUAUUUUAUUUGCAUUCUUGAGAGAUAGUUUAACUAUGUUUACAGUUUUACAUUAACUUUUAUUUUCUCCCAGCACACUAAAGACGUUUUCUUGGUUUUCAUUUUUGCUGCUGUGACAUCACUUUAGGCUGUAUUCCUUUGAAAGUACAUUGUUUUUAGCCAGACACUUUAAAUCUUGUCACUGUUGGUUUCCCUUUAAUUUACAAUGUGACUGAGUUAAGACUGGUUUUUAUUCUGUUUAGAUUUUUUGUUUCCUAACUCUUAUUUUUGUCUUUACUAAGUUGUGGAAAAUUAUCAUCUGAUAUUUUACAAAUAUUUUCUUUUCUUCUACUUUUUUAUUCUGGAACUCCAAUUACAAAUAUGGCAGACCUUUUCAUUCUGUCUUCCAUAUCUCUUAAACUGUCCUUUAUAUUUUCUUAAUCUCUCCAUGCUAAAUUCUGCAUAAUUCUUCAGAUUUAGUUCAUUAAUUUCUCUUUGGUUGUGUUUGGUUUGAUUAGUAACCCACCACUGAGUUUUAAAUGAAUAUAUUUUUAGUUUUAUAAACUCUAUGUAGUUCUUUUCCAACCCUAUUAAUUUAAAAAUAUCUUCUUAGUCUUUUGUCAUGUUUAAAAUAUAUAUUUAAUUUCCAGGAACAUACUAAGCACAUUUAUUUUAUAUUCAUUAGAUAAUAUCAACAUUUCAGGUUUGAUGUGGUUCCUCUAAUUCAUGGCUUACUGUUUUUGUUGAUUCUGCUCACUGUGGACUGUUUCCUUGUAUGUGUGAGCUUCUAUUUUUCUGAAUUUAAUUUGAAGAAAACAUAAGAAUGUCUUUCUCCCCAUGGGUAUGGGUUUUUCUGGUAGGUGCUCUACCAAUCUGGUGCACUACCCACCUGGAAGCACUUAAACUUAUCAGCAUAUCCUUGCUUGAACUCUGUAGGUGUUUUAAGUUCAAAUCCUGAACUCAGGUUCCAAUAAGCUUGUACUCUGGAUUCUCAAGGGAUAUUUUCCCUCACCUGAAGCCAAGGACUAAGAUUUUAAAAGUUUGCUUUUGGUUUUCUUCAUCAAAAGAUGUAUUUUUUUUCUAGUUUGACCUUUCACCACGAGUCUAGCCCUGUAAGCAUAUUAGUGUUAUACAUGAAUUUUAGUUAUUUGUCCAUCUUACUAGAUAAAAGGGCUUAUCUCCUAUUCCUUUAUGAGGCUGUCAAAAGCCUAACCUCUGUUUCUGGUAUUAUUAGAUAUCUCCAGGGAAGGCAGGGCUUUAGUGCUAGCGUAUCAUUCAGUUUCAUUUGCCUUUUGUUUCAAAGAUAUUUCUCUCAUAAUUUCUAGAUGCUUUUGGUAGGAGAAUCUUUACAACGUCUAGUCCAACAGAAGUGGAAAUUUCUCUACAUCUCUUUAAAUAAAAAAAUUACCACCUCCAUUCUAACAAGGCUAUUUCAAUCAGUGUUAACAUGUUCAAAGAUGAAAUCUAAAUUACAUAUUUAAAAGCAUAAAAAUAACCUUUAACAUGAAAUGUGGAUUAAUGUGGAGGUAAUAUCAAGAAAAUAAAAAGAAGGAAUGCCGAGACUAUUAAAACUAGUACCAACAUUUUACUUAAUAAGCUGUCUAUCCUCCUAGCCAUUAUUGUUCCAGUGGUAGAUGAAUUACAGUUAUGAUGCAAAUUUUGAAACUUAUUUGGAAAUGCAUUAGUCAAACGUGAUAUUGAUCAAAAAGAAUUCUUUCAGUGAAAUUUUUUUAAAAUAACAUUUUAAUUACAUGAUCUAACUUUCAUUUCUUCAUCUCUUAACUUCAAUACAUUUAGUACUCUGAAAGUUAAAGCAUCUAGUAAAAACUCUACCGUUUAAGCACAAAUAUAUAUUUACACAAAGAGCCUUUUGGAAUUAAGCUUUUGGAAGGUAAUUUAGACAAAACUUAAUCAGUUAACUGAUCUUCAGUAAAAUCAGUAAAACCAAAUUCAUUCUAUUAGAUUUCUACAAUUUCUCUUAUAACCUACCCUAACACAGAAGUAGAGUAUUUAAUCUCAAAAUCUAUCUUCUUAGGCUAAUUUAAUUAAUUUUCAUGUUCAAUGGAUGAUCACAAUGUGUGGUAUUUUUCUUUAGUAUAAAAAUGCUGUUCUAGAUUUCUCAUGUUUUGCUAAUUCCAUAUAGUUCAAAUUAGGCUAGUAAUAAUCACCAAGGGGUAUGCGAUCUCUAAUAACUGUGAAAUCUUCUUAAGCUUUUUCCUAUUGGCAUUAGCAUAGAGUUUACCUUGGCAAUGGAAGAGAAGCCAAAGGACAUAAAGCACCCGGUAGCAUUUUUAAUAUCCCUGGCACAGAUUUCUGGCAGUAGCAGCAUCCAAAAAAGUGCAUUAGCUCUGGUUUUAUACAGUCUCUUACAAGAAGGGGGAAAAGAGGUAAAUGUGCAGUUGGUAAUUUAAGAACUGCUGAGCUAUGGAUCAAACUUUGCUUCACUGAAUAAAUAAUAAAACUCCAUCAAAUUCAGCUUAAUAUUGCAUGGUCAUUAGUGACCUUCAUCAUCAGAGUUGGUUUGACUGGAUUGGUGCAUACAGAUGAAAAAUAAUCUUUUUAAAAUGUAAAUCAUAUCAUGCAGUGGCCCUGCUUAAAACCCUUGAAGCAAUUAUAUUGCUCUCAGAAUAAAAUUCAAAUUUCUUAUCAAGGCCCAUAAGACCUUACCAGAUUUGUCCCCUAUCCUUCUCUUUAACAUCAUUAUACAACACUCCCUCUCUCACUGGAUUCAGGCCACACUGACCUCCUUUCUACUGCUGUAAUAUGCCAAGUUCUUUCUCCAGCCAAGGAAAUUCAACAAAGAAAAGAUCCUCUCUAAGUUGAGCUAGAACAACUGGAUAAUUUUAUUUAAAACUUAACUUUGAUCCAUGUAUCACAUUUAUAAAAAUUAACUUGAAAUUUAUAGGCAUACACAUAAAAACUAAAACUAUAAAACUUCGGAAAAAACAUGAAAGAAAAUCUUUUUGAUCUGGAUCAGGCAAAGAUUUCUAGAAGAUACAAUAAGUAAGAUUUCUAAGAGAAAAGAAACUGAUAAAAUACAUUUCAUCAAAAUUGAAAACUUUUAAAUUUUUAGACAUGAGGGAAACAAAAAGGCAAGUCAUAAAUUAGAAAAUAUUUGUGAAAUAAAUAUUUGACAAAGGGCAUGUGUCCAAAAUAUGACAUGAACUCUUAGAACUCAAGAAGAAAACAAUCUAUUAAUGAGAAGACAAAAAAAAUAUUUGAAUGGAAACUUCAUGAAAGAAGAUAAACAAAUGGAGAAGAAGCACAUAAAAAGACUCCCAACAUCACAAGUCAUCAAGGAAAUGAAAUAAAAAUCAAAAUAUGAUAACACUACAUACCCACUAGCAUGGCUAAAAAUUAAAAUGCUGACAAUGCCAAACGUUCAUUAUAAUGUGAUGCAAUGAUGACACUCAUACAUUGCUGAUAGGAAUGCGAAAUGGCACAGUCACUUUGGACGUCAUUAUGGCAGUGUCAUAUAAACAUAUACAUCAAUCCUACUUUUAGGCAUUUAUCCAAGAGAAAUUAAUGUCUGUGUCUACAUGAAAACUUGUCCAUGAAGCAUUAUCCACUAUUGUCACAAUCUGAAAACAAGGCAAAUGUUCACCAACAUGUAAACAGGUAAAUUAUGAUAUAUCUAGAUGAUGAAAUAUUACCCAGUAAUAAAAAGGAACUCAAUACACACAACAACCUGGGUGGAUCUCAAAAGUAUUAUGUUAAGUGAAACAAACAAAAAACUACAUACCAUUUGGUUUAAUUACAUGAAAUUCUAGAAAAGGUAAAAGCAUAGUGAGACAAAGUAGAUGAGUGGUUGCCUGGGUCUAGAAGUUAGGGCAGAAGAUCAAUUGCAUAGAGGCACAGACAACUUUUUAGGGUGAUGGAACUGUUUUAUAUCUUGAAUCCAAUUACCAAAAUUCAUCAAACUGUAUACAAUUGCCAACAUUCAUCAAAUGUACACUUUAACUAGGCGACUUUUAUGUUAUGAUAAAGUCAAAAACUUAGUAGUAACCACAAUUGUUUAAAAUCAGACUAACAAGAUUUGACGGGAGAACAAGAAUAUUUUAUCACUAGCAUUGUAUAAAAUUACCAUUGUGUGGUGAUGACAAAAAAACGACUUUGACUUUUAUUCAUCCUUAAAGGAGAAUGGGAACGAGGUGUAGAAAUAAAAACAAGAUUUAGUCUGCAUGAUGACUGGGCCCCACGACUCCACACACACUGCUUCCAAAAUACUUGCAGUCUCCAUGUUCCCCCAGGCAUUUGAAGGGUUAUUUUCUAGCAAAAUAACCCCAGAGAAAAAAGUUCUUCAAAUAUGAAUAGUGGAAGUCACCCAGUGAGUAGGUGAUUCACAUCUAAUCCCCUUAGAAAAAAAUUCCUGUAAAGGGAAAUACCACCCAUGCAUACAGCUUCAUAGUGCCUCACGCACAACCACUCACAGCCUGGAAUCAACAACAUGAUGUAAUGAGAAUAAGAGAAACAUACAAAAAACACAGAGAUCAUGUAUGGAACAGGAGGAAACUUCAACACUUAUGAUUCAUAUCUAAUAAAAGACAAGAAAGAUAUUACAUUCAGUCAAUGCAUAAUAUUCAAAGCAUAAAUAUAUAAGAAAAAGUGAGACAGCCACUUGGCAGAAAUAAUUUCGUUAAUUCAUUCCACAAAAUAUUUUGGGGACUCACUACUGUUUUAUACUGUGCUGGGCUUUAUAUUGUUGAAUGAGAUGGAAUUUAAGUAAUUCCAAAUAGUUAAUUAGUUAAUUUGAUAAAUUAAGUAAUGGAAAAAUAUUAAAGUAUGCUUCACAAAACCAUGUUUUGUGUUCUUACUAAUAAUUUGCUUUUAAAAAUCAUUUAUUCAGCUUGGACUUCAGUUUAUUCAUGCCUGAACUGGGCAUAAAAAUAUUUGAUCUUGGGACAUGGAAUGAGCAGUAACUGGAAGGGGGACACAAGGGAUCUUCUGGAAUUCUGAAAAGUGGACAAUCUGACGUUGGUUGCUUUUUUUCUGAGCCCCUGGGAAUUUGGACAAUGAAUAACUUCAAUUUCAAAAUCAUCUA